CCAGAAUAACCUUUCAAGAAUUUGCAUUUGGAAAUGACAAAUUCGAAACUCUUGGAUUACCUUAAAGAUUCAAUCAUUUUUGGAGACUGGGAGUUGCCAGGUGAGGGAGAGCAAGAAACACCGAUUCAAAAAUCUGAGACUUUUUGCAGUUUGAGCUGAAAGAUCGUUUCGAAGAAAUUAAUAGACUCAAAGAAAAAGCGAACGAUGAGGCAGAACAAAAAAGUAUGGCAGAAAUUCUGUCCCAGGUCGAGAUAAUGGGGAAAAAAUUGAAUUUCCUGAAAUUGCAAGAAACCUUAGCAGCAAUCUGGUCGCGACUUUCGCUGAUCCUCAAGGUGCCAGCUUAAAACAAUUGACGUUGCAGAUUCAGCUAUUCAAACAAACGGGUUCGACUAAAGUUGGAGAGGAAAAAACGGCAUUUACUGAAGUGGAUAAAAUUCGCAAACGAAGUCUGGAGUAUUAAAA